rnacentral:ncRNA from 1 species
CACAAAGUGAUGACGGGGACAAGUAAACGUAUAUAAUUUCCUUCAGAAAGCCGGUGGGUGAUGCGAACCGGCGGAAGUGUAUGCGGCGAAUGGACCCCUGAGCUUCGGGAGGAACGGACGGCCCUGGGCCCCAAGUAUCCCCGGACGUUGAUCCGCGUUAAGGAUUUAAGGCUGAUAAUCGGUUCCGCAGCGUACGGGCGGACUUGUCGGCGAAUUAGGGUGGUACCACGGUCUCACGUCCCUUGC